CCGCCGCCGCCGAGUCGCCGCCGCCGCUGCGAGGCCAAGUGCCGCCACGCGUCCGCUCCGCCGCCGCCGCCACACGCUGCCAAGGCCCGACCGACUGCUCCACUCGCCUCCGCGCGGCCCCACCCGCACUGCCUCCCAGGCGCCCCCGAGUCACGCGCUGAACGAACAAAUGCCCGACCGAGCACCCGCCCGCAGAAAGAGCCGCGGUCGGGGGGGCGGGCCAGAAAUAACUGGCGCCGCCACCGCCACGCACGCGCGUAGAGCGCUGCACGCCCGGGGGCGGAGCCAGGCUGUUCCCCGCGGCCUUGGCCAAGAGUACGCGUGCGCACAGCCCUCCCUUACUGGCCAACCCUUGGGUCGCGGGGCGGGACGUCUGUAAAGUCACCGCCGCGUCCGAAAGGGUCGGUGAGACGCGUGCUCAGUUGCUAGAGCGAGAUUUCCCCAGCUCUACCCACGAGCACACCAAGAGCUGGCGACAGGAUGCUCGCACGCAGGAGCAGUGCGGACUUCUACUCAUUCCUCUGCCUCUCCACCGGCUUGGCCUGUCUCCUGCCUUAUGGGUCACAGUUAGUUGGAGUCCCGGGCGCUGGGUCUCAGAGAAGAGUGUACAGCACCUCUCUCUGAACACAGACGCGAUGCUAACACGCUUGUUAACAUAAGAAACACAGGACCUUGACAAAUGAAACAGCUCACCGGGAACUACAGGCAGCCAGUCUGUAAAAUUCCUUCCAGCCUCCGAAAGUCUCCUCCACGUUGUGAGCCAGCCGCUCUUCUACUUUGCUGCUUUUCCAGAAGAGAAGCAAGUGUAUCACUGCUAUGAACUAAAUUGCCCUGUCAUAUGUGACAGUGUCUGGAAAUGAGACCUUUGGAAGAUAAUCAUGAUUAGAUGAGACUAUGAGAAGAGAGCCCGAUGAUGAUUGGUGCCUUUAUAGGAAGGGACACCUGGAAGCUCUCACCACCCACCCUGACAAACCAAGAGAAGAAUCUGCAAACCAAAUCAAAGCUAACUGGCUACCACCUUGAUUUUAGACUUUCCCCUCCAGAACACCCAGCUACAGAAUAACUCCAGUUUGGCCUCCGGUCACAACUGAGACUUCAGUGAUCCAGUGAUGCUGUGAUUCUCCA